AUUAGCAAAGACUGUUUUGUCCACAGGGGGCGCCAAAUUUGACACAAACUCAAAGAUCUUAACAGAAGCUUUAAAGUACUCUACUCUUUUGCAUGUAUUAAUCACAACCAUGAUGGGUGGUUUGAUAGUUAAUGCCUCAUUAUUUUACAGCAAAACAGAAACUUUAACAAAGUUCUAGUUUUGGACACAAAGUUCUGUUUUCUAACUUCUGUAUUUUUAAAAUGCUACAAUAAAUGAUUCCUUUAUACAUAUUAAAGAAUUGAGUCUUAUUUUUUAUAAUUAACAGCUGAAAAGAAAAUGUAAAGCUGACUUUUAAUAUAUCUCUAGUUUGUUUUUAAGGAAGAACAAUACAUCUAAUAAAAUUGAUAAUGAGAUUAACAAAUUAAAGCCAGGAUGCAUGGUUGCAGUCUCCCCCAAGAAUAACUUAAAACUAAACAAAUAAUACAGGAUUAACAGUCUUUGCUAGCUUAUCUCCAACUCCGAGCUAAAUCAGGAUAGGUCCUUUCUUGUCGAAACUUUUCAGAAUAAAAGUUGCGUUCACUCUGACCGUGAGUAAAAUCAUUUACAUAGUCGAUUUGUAUGUGAAGUCAAAGCAAAGACGUGAUUGGACGGGAGCGCUUUUGGGCCGCGCAGAUUGUGCGAAUGAAAAUUUAGCGUCCUGUUCUUGACUUUGUUUUAUUAUUUUUUAGGAUGAAAAGGGAAGGUCCCGCCCUCCUUCGCCUCUGAUUGGCUAGAAAUCCUCGGCUCCGAUUGGUUUUUCAGUGGGGUUAGGGUCAGUAGAUUUAGAAGUGCGAUAAUGUUCUGUAAUGUUCUGUUCGAUGUACAGAGCCGACAGCCUGUGUUUGUCUUGAGCGUGUGAUGACGUUUCCAGCUUUUCUAGCCAAUCAGAGGCGAAGUAGGCGGGACUUUCCCCUACCAUCCAACAAAAAAAAAGUAUUGCGCCCUGUUCUCGUUAUGCGCUUAUUUGUGAGAGUUGAAAAGUCGACCAUGAACCAAUGGAGGUUCAUUCAUUUGGUACAUGGAUGAUGACAUGACAGCUACAACUUGCUUUCAGUAGUAAGAUGGGAAUAAAAUAAUAUUGAUUCAAUCUGCUAAACAGAUUUAUUUGAAUUUGGAAAAGUGCUUUCGACCUUUAUUGACAGGUGCAAAUAUAUAAAAAUGAAGAGUUUCAAAAGAGUUUCUUUGCAAUCAAUGCCAGAGCAAACAGUUUAACUGCAUAAGUAAUUCAUAAUAAAAGCUGUUUCUAACUUUCUCUCACUCUAAGGAAGCAACAUCUGAUCACUGAUGGCACCUUUUUUCACUUGCGAUGAUAAAAAUAACACCACAACACUCAUUGCAAGAUUAACUCUCGAAGCAGCAGCCCACAGCUUCACCACUUCCACCUUCAUUUUUACAUACCGGCCCAGGUUUUUCAUAUCCUGGGGCCACGGAACAACUCAGCACAGAGCAACAUGACAAAUACAGUACAGUAAAAGCCACCCAGGCCAAAUCUAUCUGCUUUAUUGCUAUUCACCGUUCCCUCCCUCCAUCUGCUCGGCACAUCGCACAACCUGAUGUCUCCUGCCUCUGCCGCACUAUUUUUACCUGCUCCUAGAUACCGUCUCCCUGCAUGUGACGUCAAGAGGGAAGGAGGAAGAGACAGAGAUGGAGAGCGAGCGGGCGAGCUGUUAUCAUUCAUCUACAGUGUACGUUAGCGCCUCGCUGUCACCCUCCAAGAAAGUAAUCAGGAUGUAAUAGCAGAGUGGUGGAAAAAGACAUGGCUUAUGCUGAUGGAGCUUGUGAAGAGUUAGCACCAUGUUCCAUGUUAAGCAUGCUCAUCUGUUCUAGGAGUGAUGGUUUGGGAACAGUGUGAUCUCGGUUGUUAAAAUCCUCCGACACCCCUGAAAAUCUUUUUUUGUGACAGCUGGGUUUAACAUUCGUUCAUGUGUCUGUCUUACAACUUCAUACUCAAAAAAGUGACCUCUGCCUGGGUUGGGUUGGCUCAAAUCUGAACAUCCACAUCCCAGUGUAUAUUAUAUCUUAUUUGUUUAUUUAAAGCUCCAGUGAUAUUUUUGUUAACAUUGAGGAAACAGACUGAAACUCAUAUUGAUGCUUUUCUACACUAUGCAAAAGCAAACAAGACCAGCAGAAACAAGAUUGAUGAUUUUUGUAAUGCAAAUUUUAUCGCCUGAAACCUGUGUGAGGGGGUAGGUGUCAGUGAAGAUGCUGUUUUUCUAAUUUAACUACCGAAAAAGUCGGAAUGAUGAGAUUAUUUGUCAAAAGAUACGGAAUAAGCACGUAGAAGGCAGAAUUAGCUUAGACAUUUUGUCCACAGGGGGCGCCAAAUUUGACACAAACUAAAAGAUCUUCACAGGAGCUUUAAAGUACUCUAUUUUUUAGCGAGUAUUAAUCACUACCAUGAUGGAUGGUUCGAUAGAUAAUGCCUCAUUAUUUUACUCAAAAAAGUGACCUCUGCCUUGGUUGGGUUGGCUCAAAUCUGUACAUCCAUGUCUCAGUACAUAUUAUAUCUUAUUUGUUUAUUUAAAGCUCCAGUGAUAUUUUCGUUUGCAUUUAGGAAAUAGACAAACUCAUAUCGAUAAUUUUCUAUUAUUUCCAAAAGCAAACAAGACUGUCAGAAACAAGAUCUAUGAUUUUUGUAAUGUAAAUUUUAUCGCCUGAAACCUGUGUUAGGGGGGUAGGUGUCAGUGAAGAAGCUGUUUUUCCAAUUUAUUUACCGAAAAAGUCAAAAUGAUGAGAUUAUUUGUCAAAAGAUAUGGAGUAAGCAUGUUGAGCGCAGGAUUAGCAAAGACUGUUUUGUCCACAGGGGGUGCCAAAUUUGACACGAACCAAAAGAUCCUCAGAGGAGCUUUAAAGUACUCUACUUUUUUUGCAUGUAUAAAUCACUUCCAUGAUGGGUGGUUUGAUAGAUAAAACCUCAUUAUUUUACAGCAUAACACAAAGUUCUAGUUUUGGACACAAAGUUUUGUUUUCUAACUUCAGUAUUUAUAAAAGGCUAAAAUAGAUUAUUCCAUUAUUCAUAUUAAAGAAUUGAGUUGUAUUUUUUAAAGUAACAGCUUAAAAGAAAAUGUAAAGCUGACUCUUAAUUCAUCUCUAGUUUGUUUUUAAAGGAAAGUAAUAAAUCUAUUAAAAAUUGAUAAUGAGAUAAACAAAUUAAAGCCAGCAUGCAUGGUUGCAUUCUUUCACAAGAAAAACUUAAAACUGAACUUUAAGCUUUUGGUUGAAGUUUUUAUUUGGCUAUGAUAUCAAUACAGAUGUUUCUUUAUAAUCAAUAACAACAAAUAGAACCACAAGCAAGAGGAAAGACUAUCUUUGUAAAGAUAUUUUAUGUUAAUGUCUGAAACCAGUGGUGGGGGGUAGGUGUCGGACUAUGAGUCGGUUAGGCUUUAUUCACAUUUAAGGGCUAAAAGUAGAGAAUUACAAAUUACACACGUAUAAAUAAUUGAUUUGUUGGCAAGGAGCGCCUCAAUCAAAACAAGAGGAAAGUUCCCUAUAGUAGCUUUAAAGCCACUUAUUAACGUAAAUGAGUAUAACAAGAGAAAACUGAUUGAAAUUUGUACAAAAAAUGAAGAUGAUUUAUUGUAAUUUAUUGUCAUUUAUGACACUUGAAGGAUUGACCAACUAUUCCUUUUAGAAAACACUCUUUAUGUUUGGAUUUUUACAUCUUGCUGCUCUAAAUAGUCUCUUAAAGACAUUCAGAGUCGAUUACCUCGACGUUGAAGUUUAUGAUUGAUGGUAUACUGCAUUAUCAGAAGGGUACACAGUUAAUAGGCAUCACCGCGUUAGUAUAAGUGAGUGUGUACUUGUCUUCGUAUUCAUGCCCAUACCCUCAUCCUCACACUGUGUGCGAGUUUAACCGUCUUUGUCUUUGAGCGAGCGUGCGUGCAUGUAUGUGUGCUUUUACCUCAGCGGGCGCCACAGUGCUCCCCGCCUGCUCGCAGCAUUAACGCUCAACCUUGUCCAAGGUUAAUCUGUCACUCUUGCUGUAUAUUUGCAUUCAUUCUUAUCUGCACCUCACCACUCAACUGGCUGUCUAUCUGCCCCAGCCGCUGCUCCAACUUAAUCGUCUUUGUACAUUAUAGAUGAGCCCCCAACAAAGCAGACACACACCUGGACGCACAUGCACAUACAAAUUCCCUUUCCCUCGCAGCUCCAAUCUUCUUUUUCCAUUCCUGAGCGCCUCCUCGCCACACCACACCGACAACACAGAUUCCCAGACUGUCAAUAUUUACUCUUUAUUUAACGUCCCGGCGAGCCAUUAAACUCUCAAAUGUAAUAUAUUUAUCACUGCAUGGGGGCUUUUGUGUGUGAUCUAAGUG